rnacentral:rRNA from 1 species
CCUACGGGGGGCUGCAGUAGGGAAUAUUGGACAAUGGGCGAAAGCCUGAUCCAGCCAUGCCGCGUGAUAGAUGAAGGCCCUCUGGGUUGUAAAUAUCUUUUAUCUGGGAAGAAACAAUCUUAUUCUUAAGAUCUUGACGGUACCAGAGGAAUAAGCACCGGCUAACUCCGUGCCAGCAGCCGCGGUAAUACGGAGGGUGCAAGCGUUAUCCGGUUUCACUGGUGUGAAGGGGUGCUUAUGAGUGAGGAUUGAAAGCUCCGAGCUUAACUUGGAAACUGCCAUUGAUACUGCCAGUCUGGAAUGUCGUAGAGGUAAGCGGAAUGUUGCAUGUAGCGGUGAAAUGCUUAGAUAUGUUACAGAACACCAAUUGCGAAGGCAGCUUACUAUGCGAUGAUUGACGCUGAGGCACGAAAGCGUGGGGAGCAAACAGGAUUAGAUACCCUAGUAGUC